AGCAGCGUGGCCUAGUGGAAAAAGCAUGGGCUUAGGAGUCAGAGGACGUGGGUUCAAAUCCCAGCUCUGCUA
rnacentral:tRNA from 1 species